rnacentral:rRNA from 1 species
UGAAUAGGAGGGGCUACGGCACCGAAGUGGUUGAUGUCAGACUUCCAAGAAAAGCUUGCACUGUCAUAAAUAAAGAAUGCCUGUACCAUAACCGACACAGGUGGGUAGGUAGAGUAUACUAAGGGGCGCGAGAUAACUCUCUCUAAGGAACUCGGCAAAAUAACUCCGUAACUUCGGGAGAAGGAGUACCCUAAUAAGGUUGCAAUAACAAGAUCCAAGCAACUGUUUAUCAAAAACACAGGUCUCCGCUAAGUCGCAAGACGAUGUAUGGGGGCUGACGCCUGCCCAGUGCCAGAAGGUUAAAGAAGUUGGUUAGUUUCGACAAAGCUGAUGACUGAAGCCCUGGUGAACGGCGGCCGUAACAAUAACGGUCCUAAGGUAGCGAAAUUCCUUGUCGGGUAAGUUCCGACCCGCACGAAAGGCGUAAUGAUUUGGAUACUGUCUCGGAGAGAGGCUCGGUGAAAUAGACUUGUCUGUGAAGAUGCGGACUACCUGCACCUGGACAGAAAGACCCUAUGAAGCUUUACUGUAACUUGAAAUUGAAAUUGGACUUUACUUGUGCAGCAUAGGUGGGAGGCAUUGAAAAUAUUCUUGCGGGAAUAUUGGAGCUAUCAGUGAGAUACCACUCUUGUAAUGUUAGAUUUCUAACUUUAUACCAUGAUCUGGUUAAAGAACAGUUUCAGGCGGGCAGUUUGACUGGGGCGGUCGCCUCCCAAAUAGUAACGGAGGCGUACAAAGGUUUCCUCUGAACGGGUAGAAAUCGUAUCUAGAGUAUAAAGGCAAAAGGAAGCUUGACUGUGAGACUUACAAGUCGAGCAGGGACGAAAGUCGGUCUUAGUGAUCUGACGGUACUGAGUGGAAAGGCCGUCACUCAACGGAUAAAAGUUACUCUAGGAUAACAGGCUGAUCUCCCCCAAGAGUUCACAUCGACGGGGAGGUUUGGCACCUCGAUGUCGGCUCAUCGCAUCCUGGGGCGGUAGUACGUCCCAAGGGUUGGGCUGUUCGCCCAUGAAAGCGGUACGCGAGCUGGGUUCAGAACGUCGUGAGACAGUUCGGUCCAUAUCCGGUGUAGGCGUUAGAAUAUUGAGAGGAGCCUUCUUUAGUACGAGAGGACCGAGAAGGACAUACCGCUGGUGUACCAGUUAUCGUGCCAACGGUAAACGCUGGGUAGCUAAGUAUGGAGUGGAUAACCGCUGAAAGCAUCUAAGUGGGAAGCCCACCUCAAGAUGAGUAUUCGCACCAUAUUGGUUAAGGUCACGGGAAGAACACCCGUUGAUAGGCAUCAGGUGGAAGUGCAGUAAUGUAUGAAGCCGAAGUGUACUAACAGACCGAGGGCUUGAC